CCUACGGGUGGCAGCAGUGAGGAAUAUUGGUCAAUGGGCGCGAGACUGAACCAGCCAAGUAGCGUGAAGGAUGACUGCCCUACGGGUUGUAAACUUCUUUUAUCAAGGAAUAAAGUGAGGCACGUGUGCCCUUUUGUAUGUACUUUAUGAAUAAGGAUCGGCUAACUCCGUGCCAGCAGCCGCGGUAAUACGGAGGAUCCGAGCGUUAUCCGGAUUUAUUGGGUUUAAAGGGAGCGUAGGUGGGUUGUUAAGUCAGUUAUGAAAGUUUGUGGCUCAACCGUAAAAUUGCAAUUGAAACUGGCAGUCUUGAGUAGAGUAGAGGUAGGCGGAAUUCGUGGUGUAGCGGUGAAAUGCUUAGAUAUCACGAAGAACUCCGAUUGCGAAGGCAGCUUACUAAACUGCCACUGACAUUGAUGCUCGAAAGUGUGGGUAUCAAACAGGAUUAGAUACCCGUGUAGUC
rnacentral:rRNA from 1 species